UAGAGAUGGAAGGCGGUCCCUGAUGCUCUGCUGUCUCUCUCCCUCCUCAUCAUCCAGAGUCACAUCCCAAGUAAAAUCUCUUUCUCUUGAACCCAUUCAGACUGCCUGCCAACAUUUCCGCCCGGACAGCCAUCUCGUCUCCAUAUCAGCUGAGCGAGAGGGAAAUAUGAUAAGCCGCUUCAUUCUCACUAAGUCUAAAAGAUGUGAAGGGGUCUGGAUAGGAUUGCAGGACACCACAGGGACUGGACAUUGGAAGUGGUCAGAUAUGUCAUCAGUGAUCUAUCUGGGUUGGGCUCCUGGACGACCUCUUCCAAAGCUUACAAAGGAUAUCUGUGUUCACUUGGCAGUGACAUUUGAUUUUGCCAAAUGGCAUGAUGCUCCGUGUUCAGCAAAGAUGAGGUACAUGUGCAUGAUGAGAGCACUGUGAAAGCUCAAGUUCAGGUCAGCCUGCAAGGAAUGCUGAACUAUUAGGAAAUCAAGAUGUCUGUAUUUCUGCAUGACGGGGGCUUGGACUACAACUCUGUGAUUUUAUGAAGACGUUACCUCCCUGGUCUCCUGGAUCCAAAUCCCUGAUUUGCACCAGUGUUUCUACAGAUAAAAUAACAUUUUAAAAAACCCUGCCUUUUAGAGCUAUCUGCCCAAUCCCCAGUUACCAAAGAUGAAUGCAUUUCUGCCCUUUCAUGUUUGUUCAAAGGGCCUUCUCCAGAGGUUUCUUUUAUUGUUUCAUGACAAUAAA